UCAGAGGCUGGGCGUGGUUUAAACUUGCUCAGCCUAUCGCAGGCUGGUCCCCGCUUCUUGGAGUCCUCCCGUCGAUUCUUGCUGUUCUGGUAUCGCAGCCUAGUUAUAACAGUUGCUCAGUUCCUGCUUAUUGUGUUCAGUAUUUUUCCAUCAGUUAAACCUCUGACCCCCCCUAUGCCUGCUUAACCACAACUUUGUAAGAGAGCAAGUCACACCAUGUGCUCUAUAUUGUUACGUACAAACACAAGGACAAAGCAUCUGCUGGGCUGUUAUCUAGGUUUGCAACAAGCAUGUUAAACACACAGGCAAGUAAAUAUAGCAAGCAGUUGCUUAAUCAUGAUGCUCACGUGCACAAAUGCAUUAACUUAACACAGCCAACAUCGGAUAAUAUAUAAUCAUGUGGUAAUGGCUAUAAUGUAAAAUGCAGAAUCCCACGCAAGGGAUGGGGUGUUUAACUUGCAGCCUUAGUAAAAAUACAACGGGUAACCUUAUCUAGCCCAUUACUCUUAAUACCUUUUACAUGGACGUGAGUAGCUAGCUCAUUACAUACUGCAUAUUUUCCCGCAAAAUGGCGGUUAGCUUGCUGCAAUGUGUUUGGGCUCCCUAGUGGCUGUUUAAGGCAUUGUAACUGCAUCGAUGCUAGAGGCGUCACCACACAAAUGAUCGGUUCCAGGCUGUAUCUCAACUGGCCGUGAUUGGGAGUCCAUAGAGCGGCGCACAAUUGGCCCAGCGUCGUUAGGGUUUGACCGGAGUAGGCCGUCAUUGUACAUUUUUAAAAAGAUUGACUUCCCUGGUUAAAAUACAAAUUGAGCAAUAAAGAUUAUGCACGUGCCAUAAAUAGCCAACAGUAGCUAGUUUAGUUUAUCACUCAGGACCGCACAUCAGAUCACAGGACAUUUGUUUACUCGAUGAGCAGACUAAUAGCCUUCGCAUUAAUUUUUGUACUCUACUGCGUUUUACUUAACGCUAGAACCGAAAUUACUUGACAAUCGUGUUGAACAGACCCAUUACCAGGCUGACAUUGCCAUUAUAUUGAGUGACGGGACAAUGCAGGGUUGAAUUUGGCCCAUGGGUGGCACUAACUGCCGGCCAAAGUGUUCUGAGCCCCCUCCCAAGAAGUCAAUACAUUUUUCUUGUUGGACAAAAUAUUUAAACACCAGGAAAUAUCACCUCCCAAAUUGUUUUUAUUGCAAAAUUCUGUUCAAGUAUUCCCAUGCGUAGGAGGUACCUGAUGGUAUACAAAUGAAAGCAAGAUUUUAAUGAUUAUUUUAGUCACAUCUGUUAGGGAUUCUUGCGGUCAAUUUGCAGUCUACAAAUGAUGUGUAAUUAUAUUUCGCCCGUUUUCUAUUUAGAUUUUCUAUUCACCAGGAUAGUGAUACGGGGGGUCCAGGCAGCCCAACAAAUUAUACUGUGAAACAAUUCCGUUUACGCUGUGCUGUGGUUUUUGGUUCGUUAACGUCACGUUUAAUUUUUCUAAAUUGCGCUGGCAUUCUACACAUGGUGUAUUAAAAAAAACAAUUGGGGGGGUUGGGCAUGCUCGACAUGGCCUUCCAGGAUGCAAUCAAAGGCACUAGAUCUAUGGACUCUCACUCCUGACACAAUGCCAGUUUUUCCUCAGACUAAGGUGUUUGUCAAUUAUGUCCAUUUUUGUUACCAUUAUCUUAAGCAGUUGAGAUGACUCCACCACCCUAGCGUCCUCAGUGUAGCGCUUCCUUUUGAUUUAGGUUGUUGCGUCAGAUCGUUUGGCAUAGUUCUGCUCAGAACCGAUGUGGACCAACAGCCUCUCGCAUGCCUUGCAGUCAUGGAGGAUUGGCUUUUUCUGCACCUCAUGUGCAAGCCAUCCGCUUACAUCGCUCAGGAUCUCAUCCUUCAAACAAUUACCAUCUGCAGCCCCUUCGGCAGUGGUGAUCUUUAUUGGGGAAAUAAUAUUUGUUACAAAUUUGUUUGUGUUAUAUUGAAGUUGUUUCCCGUUCUAAUUGCUGUAGGGUCACUGUCUGGAGCAGAGGGAAGAUGCAACUGGCGAUGUUCGGUGGAUGAUCUUCUGAGUUGGCCCGCAUCAUUAGGACUAAAGCCGGAAGCAAGAGGGGUAGGAGAAGUGGUGUCUUUGCUGUGGAUUAGUAGGUCGUCAUCUGGAUCGGUCUGGCAGUUUGUGUUACUUGCACAAGUGAAUGCAGGAGAUGAAGAGGAAGGCCCAAUAAAACAUGACAGAACAUUGGAGACUGAGCACCACCAACAACUAGCAUAAUGGUAACUGAGCUGUGCAUUCCACCUCCGUAGGCAGUUAGCCUAGCUGCAUCAUAGUUUGCAUCCCUUGAUUAUGUGUUGCAGCGGUCACUGCAUCUCAGUGCAAUAGUUGUC